rnacentral:misc_RNA from 1 species
UUAACUAUUAUAUAGUACUCAGACGACACUAAUAUUCAGGGUUUUGGGUCCUCUGGCAAGCACUGACCAGCCGAAGCCGGUGGUCCGAAGACGGGCCUGCCAAAGCAACAAAGGUAAUAUAAACAAAGGGUGGGAGAUCUACCCCGAAGGGCAUAUUCUCUUUAAUGAUCCUUCCGCAGGUUCACCUACGGAAA